GAAACACUGUCGCUCUCUGGAAAGAAGCUGAGGGUGGUCAGGAAGGCCUCUUGGAAGAGGAGUCACUUGAACAGAGAUCUCAAUGAAGUGAGGAGGCCAACCGUGAGGAAAUCUACAGAAGAAUAUUCCAGACAGGCAAAAGGUUCCAGGAGAAUAAUUCAUGAAACAAAUCAGGAAUGCUGAAGAGAGUGACAGAGAUCCUUCCAGCAAAUCUUGUGGUCUUUGAUGUGAGCACUGCCCAGAAAAUACCUUCCACUGAGCAGGUAUGGGAGAGAAACUUGAAGAAGGUAUCAGUUAUCCUUGCAGAAAGAAGACAUCCUCUACUCUUGAACUUCUCUCCUUCUUCCUCCUC